AAUUUGUUGCUUAAACUAUGGUAUUCUGCAUUGUGCAGUUAAACUGUUUUUGAAAUCCAUGCAUAAUGACAGGGGGAGUAUCACUGUUUUACACAUUGUUUUAUCACACAUCUAUAUUUCAGGGGGAGUUUACAUUGUUUUGUGAUGAACUUGUGAUUUUGAGAGCAUCAUUGUACUUCAUACAUUGCAUAUCUUUUUGAUGCAUCUCUGUUGUUUUUCAAAAUUGCAUAAAUAUCUGAAGCAUUCCUUUUUUGUUAAUGCACAAAGGGGGAGAGAUAUUCAUGAGUGUAUGAGAGCAAGUCUAUAUGGGGAGAAUUGUUGCAUCAUACUUUAUCUGCUUGAUGUUUUUGCUGUAUAUGCAGAGUAACUGAACUGUGUUAAUGUUUCUAAUAUAUAUGUUUUUACUCUGUCUUUUGUGGAACUGUACAAAUAUGGUUGAGUUA
rnacentral:lncRNA from 1 species